rnacentral:rRNA from 1 species
UACGUAGGGGGCGAGCGUUGUCCGGAUUCAUUGGGCGUAAAGAGCUCGUAGGCGGUUUGGCAAGUCGGGUGUGAAAUCUCCGGGCUCAACUCGGAGAGGCCACUCGAUACUGCUAUGACUAGAGUCCGGUAGGGGACUAUGGAAUUCCUGGUGUAGCGGUGAAAUGCGUAGAUAUCAGGAGGAACACCUGCGGUGUAGACGGCUUACUGGACGGUAACUGACGCUGAGGCACGAAAGCGUGGGUAGCAAACAGG